rnacentral:rRNA from 1 species
UUUGAUCCUGGCUCAGGACGAACGCUGGCGGCGUGCCUAAUACAUGCAAGUCGAACGGUUCUUUCUUUUGGAAGCUUGCUUCCGAUCGAGAGAAUAGUGGCGAACGGGUGAGUAACACGUGGGUAACCUGCCCAUAAGAGGGGGAUAACAUCCGGAAACGGGUGCUAAUACCGCAUAGUUUUUUUGAUCGCAUGAUCGAGAAAGGAAAGACGGCCUUUGUGCUGUCGCUUAUGGAUGGACCCGCGGCGUAUUAGUUAGUUGGUGAGGUAAUGGCUCACCAAGACGAUGAUACGUAGCCGACCUGAGAGGGUGAUCGGCCACAUUGGGACUGAGACACGGCCCAAACUCCUACGGGAGGCAGCAGUAGGGAAUCUUCCGCAAUGGACGAAAGUCUGACGGAGCAACGCCGCGUGAGUGAAGAAGGUUUUCGGAUCGUAAAACUCUGUUGUCAGAGAAGAACAAGUCGGAGAGUAACUGCUCCGGCCUUGACGGUAUCUGACCAGAAAGCCACGGCUAACUACGUGCCAGCAGCCGCGGUAAUACGUAGGUGGCAAGCGUUGUCCGGAUUUAUUGGGCGUAAAGCGAGCGCAGGCGGUUCCUUAAGUCUGAUGUGAAAGCCCACGGCUCAACCGUGGAAGGUCAUUGGAAACUGGGGAACUUGAGUGCAGAAGAGGAGAGUGGAAUUCCAUGUGUAGCGGUGAAAUGCGUAGAUAUAUGGAGGAACACCAGUGGCGAAGGCGACUCUCUGGUCUGUAACUGACGCUGAGGCUCGAAAGCGUGGGGAGCAAACAGGAUUAGAUACCCUGGUAGUCCACGCCGUAAACGAUGAGUGCUAAGUGUUGGAGGGUUUCCACCCUUCAGUGCUGCAGCUAACGCAUUAAGCACUCCGCCUGGGGAGUACGNCCGCAAGGCUGAAACUCAAAGGAAUUGANGGGGACCNGCACAAGCGGUGGAGCAUGUGG